UGAUAAGCAGUUGGAAAUUUAGUAAGGAAAAUGUAAUGGGUCGUGAGUCUGCAGAAGUUCACACAAUAAACUGCAAGUAUGUUUUUGGAUAUUGUUUUCUACAUCUGAAUUAUAAUGCAAAAUAUUCAACGAAAAGAUUUCUUUAUUUCAACCAUAAAACACAUAUACAGGAUAUGAUUGAAGAAUAAUUUAAGUAAGUUUUUAUACAGAUAUAAAAACAUCUAUGAAAUUUUAAUAAUAAAUACAGUACGAAAAUACAUUUCACGUUAACUUGAUUAGAUUGAUAAUACAAUUGUCGAAAAAUAUGAAUAAAAAUACGAUAGAAUGAUAUGAAAGGUUGAAGCUAGUUGCAACAAGUUAAAACCUGAAUAAGAUGUCUUUAAAAUCUAGAGAGUACCUUUAAAUCGAGCUCGUUGCCAUACCAGCAAUAUAAGAAUAGUUGAAAUGAUAUUGACACUACGUAUACUACAAAGAAAAGGAAUUCAAUACUGAAGAGUUCUUUCUGUAACAAAGAUAUCUGAUAGAUGCUGCUGCAAAGAGUGAUAAAGCUGGUAAAGAACAAAAUCGCGGUAGACCACAUAAAUAGCGAUUGUAUUCUGUGUAUAAUGUUGCACACAGAAUUAUGAUGCCUCACGCAUUCCGCGAUUGCAAAUUUCUCAAUGGUGUCGUCCCCUUUCUCUUCGCUAUUAUCCUGAAGCUGAAGAAAUCGAAACGUU